CUGGCGCAUCUUAUUCAGUGUCCAUCGUGGAUGGCCCACGGGCCCAGCAUCACAUCCCCACAGCCUUGCUUCGUGCAGCCCCCUGGGAAGCCACCCUAUCCAGCCAUGCUUGAAGUCACCAGGCCUUGGUAUACUAUCCACUCUCAGGCACUGGCCUCCAGCCCCUCUGUCCUUUCAGUUGGAACACCCUAGGACUUUAUCUUCCACUCUGUGGGGUCUCAACACACAGGGCCCUGAGAGGGAUUCUCUCUAUCCAGCCCCAGCCUCACAUACAGUCUGGUAUUCUUGGUUCAAAGACCAAGAACACUGGAAUCAGACAGUCCAUUAGGAGUCACCGAGGUCAGCCUCUCAGUGCAUAUGUGACACUGCUGAGGCCCAAAGAGGGGAAAGAAUUGGCAGGAAUUAGCUGGAGGAACCAGGACUAAACUGGAGUCACCUGAUUCCUGGUCCAGUGCCCUUCCACAAUGCCAACAUCUGGAGAAGCGUUCUAAUAUGAAGCCCUCCCUUCCCCCAGUGCUGCCUCCUCCAGGAAGAUUUUCUGAACUACCUCAACCCACAGGGUACAGUGUGACCAUCUGUGCACUUGUUUCUGCGCAAGCCAUUUGCCCUUCACUAGCUGAGGUUCCUCCGCCUCUGACAGUCCAUGGCUAGGGCCCUGGGGUGGGCUGGGUGGACACUCAGAUCUAGGGACAGACUCACCUUUGCAGGCCUGGCAACAGGAGGCGGGCAGUGGUAGAGGUGCAGGGCAGCCUGGUUCUGGGCAGGUCAUGAGACCACAGUAGAUCUGGCCUUCCUGACAGAGCAAAGGGGAGAUGAGCUCCAAUGAGGAAUAGCCUCAGGGUUAGGAGAGACCCUGCCCUGGGGGCAAAUGGCCUUGAGGUGUCCUUUGAAGUGGGUGAAGAAAGGAGCAGCAGAGCCUCCUGGGCAAGGCCCAGCCAGCUCAGAGGAGGGUCCCCUGUACCCUCCCCAGAUGGUCCCCGGCCCUGAGGUAACAUUCAUCCUUCAGCUUCUAAAGGGUUUUCAGAUCCUGUCUCUCCCACAGCUCUUACAGCAACCUGGUGAGGUGGGAUUCUUCCAUCCUACAGAUAAGGAGGGCCCGAAGAGGGGCCCGAACUGCCUGAAACCAGAAAUCAGAGACGCAGCCCAGAAGAGCCCAGCCUGUUGACUUUCUGCUGAAGUCAACACCCUCCUCCCCCGACCUGGGACAGGGGAUCCAGAGAGAGGAGGGAGAUCCAUGGGACACCCGUCGAGCUGAUCUUGCUCUUACUGAAAACCCUAGGUUCCCAGCUUCAGGACCCAGCCUGGAGAGGCAACACUGCUGAGGAAAAGGCCUUCUGGGAAUCCUUUGGAAGCAGCACAAUACAGGGAAGAAGGGAAUGUGAAUUUUGGAGUCUUGCGGCCCACCUCUGAACUCUGGCUCUGCCACUUAACUAACUGUGUGACCUUAGGCAAGUUACUUAACUGAUCUGUACCUCAGUUUCCACAUCUGAAAAAUAAGAAAGGUGAUUGCCCGCUCCUAGGGCCUUGGGGUGCUGUAUGGAAGUACAAGGCAUCUCCACGAACGAACAGCAGUUAUUAUAGACAUCUGUGUGCCAGGCCCUGAGCCGGUAGCAGCAGAAGAUACAAAAAUGAACUGGGCAUGGUCCCUCCAUUCGAGGAGUGCAGUCUAGCGGGGAACACAGAGAUGGGCAAAUGUGAGUAUACAAGGUCUCACCAUCUGCAUCUGAACUCACAAACCAUACACCAUGUACAAAAAGGUCAGGUGCCUGGGCAGAUGUGGAAACAGUCCUAGAAGAGGGUCAGGAGUCGCCUAAGACAUUGAUUUAUGCCAGCACAAACUCCAAUGGCAGUCUUUGGAUCUUUGGGGGGCUGCUUAUGGGAUUAUCUUUUCCCUAAAGGGGCAGGACUGGAAGAAAAGCCUUUAAAUUGCAAACGGAAGGAUCCAGAUGCAGCCAGGGCAACAAUGCCUGGAGAAAAGCCUUGGGGUCUAAGAAGGCUGUGCCAAGAGGAAGGGAGGCAGGUGUGGAGGGCAUUCUGUGGUAAGUCCCUUUCAAGAAACAACGGGUAAGUGUUAGGAGGAAACCUUCAGGGCCCAAGGAAGGGGAGGAGACAUUUACUGAGUACUAGGCAUUGUGCUGGCUAAUUUAACACAGUCACCUCCUUGAAUCCUCCCAAGAACCCUUUGGGUUCCAGGUGCAUCUGUGUCUCAGAUGAAGAAAUUGAGGCUCAGAGAAGUUGUGAUGUAUGAAAAGUCACACAGCUGCUGAGGGCCAGAGGCAGGACUUGAACCCAACACUGAGUUCUUUCCAUUACUCGUUACUAAGGACUUCUAUGAGUCUCAUGCUGCUGGCAGCCCAGAGGCGACCAGACACGCAGCCUGCCCUCACAAGCAGAGACAGGAAUGAAACAGAAUCCAGCCCCGCCAGCUCCAGAAAGUCAUGUGCAAAAGAAAGGCAGCAAAAGAAAGGGGGAGGUGGGCUGUGGAGAGGACAGAGCGCUAGGCUGGAACUUGGGAAACCAGGGUCUUCAUCCCAGGCCCCGUGCUGUGUAACCUAGAGCAGACCCCUACCCCUCCUUGUCCUCCGUUUCUUUAUCAGGUAUUUUAAGAUUUGAACUUAGCUCCUUCCUUCUCAUUAAGUGAGUUUUUGGUUUUGUUUUCCAUCCUCACAGCAUUCCAAGAGACUGGGGAUGGGGAGGGCAUCCACCAGCCUUUUGCAGGGGCGGGGGAAACUGAGGUUCAGAGAGAUGAUUUAAACUGUUUGAGGUUACAGGGCGUCUAAGUGGAGGAGUGUGAAUUAGGA